AAGGUUGUAUGGCACAGUGGCCGUGAUGUCAUCAGUGACAUCACACUCAGGACCUUCAGUGAGUGAGCACCAGCUGCUGGGGAUCCAGAUGUGGCUCGUGUACAGGCUCUCGUACUCCCUGUCAAAGAGAGGAGGGCACAGAGUUACACCAGCCCCUCUGACACAGGCUCUGUUAUGGUUGCAAGUGACUGCCUUCAUUCUCCUACUUUGUACAGGUUAAUUUCUGGUGCCUUCCAUGGAGGAUCAUCCACGUCAGAAGAUAAACUGCUGGAAGAAUAGACCUAUUUCCUCACUGUGUGGGUUGAACAACAUUUCUGUAUAAGGCCACUGCGUUCAGAUGUACCCUGAGGAAGGUACCCCAGCAACAAGGUGGGAGUGAAAUUCAAACUUCUAGAGAAGGGCUGGGCCUGCCUAGAGAAAAAGAUGCCUUUUCCUAAUUCUCACAAAGGUACUACAUAGACUGUGACAACCCUGCUUCUAUGCAACCUCUGGAUUAUAAGAGCUCUAUUUGUAUUUACAUCUGAAAAUCAACUUACCGAAGAUUCACUAUCUCGAAUGAGGAAAUCCCCUUCGUGUCCUCUUUCGUUUAAUGCCAUUUCUGCUUGAUGCCUGGUGACUUUGCCAUAAUACCAAGGAUUGCCAGCAAACUUUCCCGUGAGUGAAGGCCUAAUGUAAUCACACUGUGGAGGUGAUGGCUCCAAACCUGAGGUUAAUGGAUUAUUCUGCAUAACGGUAACAUAGUUUUUUGGUACUAGACCAACCAUACCAUUGAUCUUCCUGCAUUUCCACCAUUCUGGGUCAUUUUCAGGUUUUUCAAUAACAUCCAUUACAUCUCCUUUCUCGAAA